GAUGAACGCUAGCUACAGGCUUAACACAUGCAAGUCGAGGGGCAUCACAAGGUAGCAAUACUGAGGUGGCGACCGGCGCACGGGUGAGUAACACGUAUCCAACCUGCCGUUUACUCUUGGAUAGCCUUCUGAAAAGGAGAUUAAUACAAGAUAGUAUCAUGAGAUCACAUGUUCACAUGAUUAAAGAAUUUCGGUAAACGAUGGGGAUGCGUUCCAUUAGAUAGUAGGCGGGGUAACGGCCCACCUAGUCUACGAUGGAUAGGGGUUCUGAGAGGAAGGUCCCCCACACUGGUACUGAGACACGGACCAGACUCCUACGGGAGGCAGCAGUGAGGAAUAUUGGUCAAUGGACGCAAGUCUGAACCAGCCAAGUAGCGUGAAGGAUGAAGGUUCUAUGGAUUGUAAACUUCUUUUAUAUGGGAAUAAAACCACUUACGUGUAGGUGUCUGUAUGUACCAUAUGAAUAAGGACCGGCUAACUCCGUGCCAGCCGCCGCC
rnacentral:rRNA from 1 species